rnacentral:lncRNA from 1 species
CUUGUCUCAAAGCAUGGGGGAACUAGAGGAUUUUUAGUGCAGCUUUUGAAAACUCUUCUCCUUACACUCACUUAUACUAUGGCCGUGAAAGAAAGCUGGUUAAAUGAGAAAACAUCAGUGCUUUAUUGCUGAAAAUAUAAACCACAGUAUUUUCUGCUUGUAAUCUACAGCUGGAUGGAGAGGAGUUCUCACUAGAUUUCCUUGUAUGACUGGGAUCUCAUGUUGAGUAUACAAUGAAACUUGCUAGUCCAUUUUGUAGGGUGAAAAGGUUGCAGUCGAGAAGUGAUGUGUUUAAUUAAUUGGUGCUGUCUGCUGGGACCUAGGGAGUGGAAGUCUUGUUCUGUUAUCACCGUGCCUGAUGAUUGUGUUCCCAGUGAGUUCUCUUUCUGUCCAACAUGUCAUAUAUGUGACCGAAGAGCAGAGCUGUGCAAUCGAGUCAACCCACCAAGAGUUUAAACAGUUUUGUGUCUUAAACUGUUAAACAUCUGGAAACACCAUUGUUCCACUGUCAUGCCUGAAUGGUAGUCUGUGAAACUUGAAUUUAUUGAAAUAAGUAUGGAUUGGAGGCAAGUAAGCUGGGUUUAGCUUGUUAAUAUUUGUAAUUCUUAGAGGCCUUAACCAAGAUUUGGGGGGUAAAGGACAGGGUAACUGUCAAAUUUAUGGGUCUGAGCCUCUUCUCCCUUGAAAGCUUUAGUACUGCUGCAGUUGUUUCAUUGACUCUUUCUUUGUCCCCAGGCUCUUGCCUUCUGUGAGUGAGAAGAGAGGAGAAGCUCGAACAACCUGCCCUGACUUCCCUCCUUGUGUGAUGCCAGCUGUGAGUGUUUCUUUGGCAGUGUCUUAGCUGGUUGUUGUGAACAAUAGUCAAGGAAGCAAUCAGCAAGUAUACUGCCCUAGAAGUGCUGCACAUUGUUGGGCCUGCCUUGUGU